AUUGAACGCUGGCGGCAGGCCUAACACAUGCAAGUCGAGCGGCAGCGGAAAGUAGCUUGCUACUUUGCCGGCGAGCGGCGGACGGGUGAGUAAUGUCUGGGGAUCUGCCUGAUGGAGGGGGAUAACUACUGGAAACGGUAGCUAAUACCGCAUAACGUCGCAAGACCAAAGAGGGGGACCUUCGGGCCUCUUGCCAUCAGAUGAACCCAGAUGGGGUUAGCUAGUAGGUGGGGUAACGGCUCACCUAGGCGACGAUCCCUAGCUGGUCUGGGAGGAUGACCAGCCACACUGGAACUGAGACACGGUCCAGACUCCUACGGGAGGCAGCAGUGGGGAAUAUUGCACAAUGGGCGCAAGCCUGAUGCAGCCAUGCCGCGUGUAUGAAGAAGGCCUUCGGGUUGUAAAGUACUUUCAGCGAGGAGGAAGGCGUUAAGGUUAAUAACCUUAGCGAUUGACGUUACUCGCAGAAGAAGCACCGGCUAACUCCGUGCCAGCAGCCGCCGUAA
rnacentral:rRNA from 1 species